GAUGAACGCUGGCGGCGUGCCUAAUACAUGCAAGUCGAGCGAACGGACGAGAAGCUUGCUUCUCUGAUGUUAGCGGCGGACGGGUGAGUAACACGUGGAUAACCUACCUAUAAGACUGGGAUAACUUCGGGAAACCGGAGCUAAUACCGGAUAAUAUUUUGAACCGCAUGGUUCAAAAGUGAAAGACGGUCUUGCUGUCACUUAUAGAUGGAUCCGCGCUGCAUUAGCUAGUUGGUAAGGUAACGGCUUACCAAGGCAACGAUGCAUAGCCGACCUUAGAGGGUGAUCGGCCACACUGGAACUGAGACACGGUCCAGACUCCUAAGGGAGGCAGCAGUAGGGAAUCUUCCGCAAUGGGCGAAAGCCUGACGGAGCAACGCCGCGUGAGUGAUGAAGGUCUUCGGAUCGUAAAACUCUGUUAUUAGGGAAGAACAUAUGUGUAAGUAACUGUGCACAUCUUGACGGUACCUAAUCAGAAAGCCACGGCUAACUACGUG
rnacentral:rRNA from 1 species